rnacentral:rRNA from 1 species
GGUUUGAUCAUGGCUCAGAUUGAACGCUGGCGGGAUGCUUUACACAUGCAAGUCGAACGGCAGCACGGACUUCGGUCUGGUGGCGAGUGGCGAACGGGUGAGUAAUGUAUCGGAACGUGCCUAGUAGCGGGGAUAACUACGCGAAAGCGUAGCUAAUACCACAUACGCCCUUCGAAGGAAAGCGGGGGACCUUCGGGCCUCGCACUGAACAAACGGCCGAUAUCGGAUUAGCUAGUUGGUGGGGUAACGGCUCACCAAGGCGACGAUCCGUAGCUGGUUUGAGAGGACGACCAGCCACACUGGGACUGAGACACGGCCCAGACUCCUACGGAGGCAGCAGUGGGGAAUUUUGGACAAUGGGGAAACCCUGAUCCAGCCAUCCCGCGUGUGCGAUGAAGGCCUUCGGGUUGUAAACACUUGCAGCAGAAAGAAACGGCACGGGAUAAUACCCCGUGCAACUGACGGCUGCAAGUGCGCUACCGGCUAACUACGUGCCAGCAGCCGCGGUAAUACGUAGGGUGCAAGCGUUAAUCGGAAUUACUGGGCGUAAAGCGUGCGCAGGCGGUUCGGAAGAAAAGAUGUGAAAUCCCAGAGCUUAACUUUGGAACUGCAUUUUUAACUACCGAGCUAGAGUGUGUCAGAGGGAGGUGGAAUUCCGCGUGUAGCAGUGAAAUGCGUAGAUAUGCGGAGGAACACCGAUGGCGAAGGCAGCCUCCUGGGAUAACACUGACGCUCAUGCCUGGCGUGGGGGGCAAACGGAUUAGAUACCUGGCUUGGUCCACGCCCUAAGCUUGAUGUCAACUAGCUGUUGGGGCCUUCGGGCCUUGGUAGCGCAGCUAACGCGUGAAGUUGACCGCCUGGGGAGUACGGUCGCAAAGAUUAAAACUCGAAUUCGGCGGGGACCCGCACAAGCGGUGGAUGAUGUGGAUUAAUUCGAUGCAACGCGAAAACCUUACUACCUUGACAUGUCUGGAAUCCGAAGAGAUUUGGGAGUGCUCGCAAGAGAACCGGAACACAGGUGCUGCAUGGCUGUCGUCGGCUCGUGUCGUGAGAUGUUGGGUUAAGUCCACCAGCGAGCGCAACCCUUGUCAUUAGUUGCUACGAAAGGGCACUCUAAUGAGACUGCCGGUGACAAACCGGAGGAAGGUGGGGAUGACGUCAAGUCCUCAUGGCCCUUAUGGGUAGGGCUUCACACGUCAUACAAUGGUCGGGACAGAGGGUCGCCAACCCGCGAGGGAGACCAAUCCCAGAAACCGAUCGUAGUCCGGAUCGCAGUCUGCAACUCGACUGCGUGAAGUCGGAAUCGCUAGUAAUCGCGGAUCAGCAUGUCGCGGUGAAUACGUUCCCGGGUCUUGUACACACCGCCCGUCACACCAUGGGAGUGGGUUUUACCAGAAGUAGUUAGCCUAACCGUAAGGGCUUGAUUACCACGGUAGGAUUCAUGACUGGGGUGAAGUCGUAACAAGGUAG